rnacentral:rRNA from 1 species
GACGAACGCUGGCGGCGUGCCUAAUACAUGCAAGUUGAGCGCUGAAGGUUGGUACUUGUACCGACUGGAUGAGCGGCGAACGGGUGAGUAACGCGUGGGGAAUCUGCCUUUGAGCGGGGGACAACAUUUGGAAACGAAUGCUAAUACCGCAUAAAAACUUUAAACACAAGUUUUAAGUUUGAAAGAUGCAAUUGCAUCACUCAAAGAUGAUCCCGCGUUGUAUUAGCUAGUUGGUGAGGUAAAGGCUCACCAAGGCGAUGAUACAUAGCCGACCUGAGAGGGUGAUCGGCCACAUUGGGACUGAGACACGGCCCAAACUCCUACGGGAGGCAGCAGUAGGGAAUCUUCGGCAAUGGACGAAAGUCUGACCGAGCAACGCCGCGGGAGUGAAGAAGGUUUUCGGAUCGUAAAACUCUGUUGGUAGAGAAGAACGUUGGUGAGAGUGGAAAGCUCAUCAAGUGACGGUAACUACCCAGAAAGGGACGGCUAACUACGUG